GGACGGCACAGUUCACUCAGAUCGCUCCCCGCAAACCACGUCAAACAUGAAAGCACGUGGGGUUUCUUUUACCACCUUCAGGAUAUCAAUGUCAGUGAACUUAGGUGCGGCCGGGAACAAAUUAUACAGGAAGAAGCAAAGCCACAGGAAGAAAUCGAAGACAUCUAAAUAAUUCAGGAUUAAGAGAGAACAUAUAAUUAAAAGCCGCCUACAGCAGUUACAGACACGACAGUCCAACCUUAUUUUCAUCAAGGU